rnacentral:rRNA from 1 species
AUUGAACGCUGGCGGCAUGCCUUACACAUGCAAGUCGAACGGCAGCGGACCUUCGGGUGCCGGCGAGUGGCGAACGGGUGAGUAAUGCAUCGGAACGUACCUUUCAGUGGGGGAUAACGUAGCGAAAGUUACGCUAAUACCGCAUAUUCUGUGAGCAGGAAAGCAGGGGAUCGCAAGACCUUGCGCUGAUUGAGCGGCCGAUGUCAGAUUAGCGAGUUGGUGAGGUAAAGGCGCACCAAGGCGACGAUCUGUAGCGGGUCUGAGAGGAUGAUCCGCCACACUGGAACUGAGACACGGUCCAGACUCCUACGGGAGGCAGCAGUGGGGAAUUGUGGACAAUGGGGGCAACCCUGAUCCAGCCAUGCCGCGUGAGUGAAGAAGGCCUUCGGGUUGUAAAGCUCUUUCGGCCGGGAAGAAAUCGCACGGGCUAAUACCCUGUGUGGAUGACGGUACCGGAAUAAGAAGCACCGGCUAACUACGUGCCAGCCGCCGCAGUAAAAC